rnacentral:rRNA from 1 species
UACGAAGGGGGCUAGCGUUGCUCGGAAUGACUGGGCGUAAAGGGCGCGUAGGCGGAUGGUACAGUCAGAUGUGAAAUUCCCGGGCUCAACCUGGGGGCUGCAUUUGAUACGUAUGAUCUUGAGUGGGGAAGAGGGUCGUGGAAUUCCCAGUGUAGAGGUGAAAUUCGUAGAUAUUGGGAAGAACACCGGUGGCGAAGGCGGCGACCUGGUCCUUAUACUGACGCUGAGGCGCGAAAGCGUGGGGAGCAAACAGGAUUAGAUACCCUGGUAGUCCACGCUGUAAACGAUGUGUGCUGGAUGUUGGGCGACCUAGUCGCUCAGUGUCGUAGCUAACGCGAUAAGCACACCGCCUGGGGAGUACGGCCGCAAGGUUGAA